rnacentral:rRNA from 1 species
UACGGAGGGUGCAAACGUUGCUCGGAAUCAUUGGGCGUAAAGCGCACGUAGGCGGUCCAGCAAGUCGGGUGUGAAAGCCCUCGGCUUAACCGAGGAAGUGCAUUCGAAACUACUGGGCUUGAGUACUGAAGAGGAUCGCGGAAUUCCCGGUGUAGAGGUGAAAUUCGUAGAUAUCGGGAGGAACACCAGUGGCGAAGGCGGCGAUCUGGGCAGAUACUGACGCUCAGGCGCGAAAGCUAGGGGAGCGAACAGG